AAGAACGCUGGCGGCAGGCCUAAGACAUGCAAGUCGUACGCGAACGACCUUUCGGGGUUAAGUAGAGUGGCGAACGGGUUAGUAACGCGUGGGAACAUACACAGCACAGGGGGAUAACCAUUGGAAACGAUGGCUAAUACCGCAUACGCCCUAUUGGGGAAAGAUUUAUCGGUGUUGGAUUGGCCCGCGUUAGAUUAGCUAGUUGGUGGGGUAAUGGCUCACCAAGGCGACGAUUUAUAGCUGGUUUGAGAGGAUGAUCAGCAACACUGGAACUGAGACACGGUCCAGACUCCUACGGGAGGCAGCAGUCGGGAAUAUUGUGCAAUGGGGGCAACCCUGACACAGCCAUGCCGCGUGAGUGAAGAAGGCCUUAGGGUUGUAAAGCUCUUUCAGAUGUGAGGAUGAUGACGAUAGCAUCAGAAGAAGCUCCGGCUAACUUCGUGCCAGCAGCCGCGGUAAUACGAAGGGAGCUAGCGU
rnacentral:rRNA from 1 species